UAUCUCUGUAGAGUCUGCAUAUCAAUAAGCGGAGGAAAAGAAACUAACUAAGGAUUCCCUCAGUAACGGCGAGUGAAGCGGGAAGAGCUCAAAUUUGAAAUCUUCAAGGUUUUACCUUGACGAAUUGUAGUUUAAAGAAGUGUUUUCUGUUGGAGUUUCGGUAAAAGUUCUUUGGAAUAGGACAUCAUAGAGGGUGAGAAUCCCGUAUUUGACCAUUUAUUUCAGCUGUGUGAUACACUUUCAAAGAGUCGGAUUGUUUGGGAAUGCAGUCCAAAAUGGGUGGUAAAUUUCAUCUAAAGCUAAAUAUUGGCGAGAGACCGAUAGCGAACAAGUACCGUGAGGGAAAGAUGAAAAGAACUUUGAAAAGAGAGUUAAACAGUACGUGAAAUUGUCAAAAGGGAAGCGUUUGACACCAGUGUUGUUUUCUCGAAAAUCAAUUAAAAAUAACUUGAUUUUGUGUUGUAUUGACCUUAAAAGCUUUCUUCACUCUUUUCCUGUUAUUUUUAAUGCACUUUUCGUUUAACAAGUCAACAUCAGUUUCUUUUGUUGUAAAAAGGUCAUUGGAAGGUGGCUUUCUUUUCGGAGAAAGUGUUUAUAGCCUUUGACUCCUGCAAUCGGAGAGACUGAGGUCUGCAGCGUAGAUCCUUUUUGGAUUAGAUUCAUUUGUGCUAAGUUAUAGCUUUUUAUAGACAACAUGUUGACUAUAUUUAGUCUUGUAACUUACUCGCUUAUGUAAUUUUACCUACGCUUAGGAUGUUGAAUCUGUGCGAGACUAC
rnacentral:rRNA from 1 species